rnacentral:rRNA from 1 species
AGUGAACGCUGGCGGUAGGCCUAACACAUGCAAGUCGAACGGCAGCACAGUAAGAGCUUGCUCUUACGGGUGGCGAGUGGCGGACGGGUGAGGAAUACAUCGGAAUCUACUUUUUCGUGGGGGAUAACGUAGGGAAACUUACGCUAAUACCGCAUACGACCUACGGGUGAAAGCAGGGGAUCUUCGGACCUUGCGCGAUUGAAUGAGCCGAUGUCGGAUUAGCUAGUUGGCGGGGUAAAGGCCCACCAAGGCGACGAUCCGUAGCUGGUCUGAGAGGAUGAUCAGCCACACUGGAACUGAGACACGGUCCAGACUCCGACGGGAGGCAGCAGUGGGGAAUAUUGGACAAUGGGCGCAAGCCUGAUCCAGCCAUACCGCGUGGGUGAAGAAGGCCUUCGGGUUGUAAAGCCCUUUUGUUGGGAAAGAAAAGCAGCAGGUUAAUACCCCGCUGUUCGGACGGUACCCAAAGAAUAAACACCGGCUAACUUCGU